CCGUGGGGCGGAGGAUAAGCAUAAGCUCCCUCUCGGCUGAGCAGUGCAAGCCAAGUCCUGAGGCGGCUUAGUGACUGAAGGAAAAAGGCGCCAAAGGGAGACCUAUAGACCUAGCUCAGGCCUGGGCAAACUUGGGCCCUCCAGGUGUUUUGGACUGCAACUCCCACAAUUCUUACCAGCAGGAUUCAACACGGGGGUGGAAGCACUGGGAGAUACAGACCUACCUGUCAAAAAUAAUGGCUCUACUAGCUUGGUGUUGACAGUAUGAGAGACUCUUUAUGUGCUGCUCUUCCGUAUUGAGCCGUAAGUGAGUGAAAAAAAAGGAUAGAACACAGCAUGUUUAGAAUAUUCCUGGAACAUCUGGAAAGAAAGGAAACAUUUCAAGGUUGACUCUGUUAUUGGUUACCUCUCCCUUGUCAAGCAGCAGUCACUUUCAAUGGCAGGUGCAUGGUGAUGUGGAAGAGGCAACUGUCGGAGCCCUUGGCUGUUCCCCUUCACUGGAAGAAUUGGCAUCCAAAAAAGAAACGAGUACCGAGGCAGCCAAAGACGAGAGCUGAGGAGGGCCUAAGAAUAUCGGAAAUAAAAUGUGUGACAACAUCGAAAUGGAUCUGACAUUUUCAUCUCCUAAUUGUGAAACUGCUGCAUGUUUGGGUUCAGCGAGUUUCAUGAGAGACUGCGUUUUCUUACUUUGAUAAAGAGAAAGAAAAGAAAAAAAAGAAAUGUGAAAAAAAUGACAAACAGAUGAACUGCGAAAGUUACCGGAUGACAAAUUGAAAGUUAAGGCUGAAGUGGGAAUAUGGAAAGAUAUUACUAACUGAAAUGGCACAAGCUUUUCAUGGAUGAAACAAUGCCAAAACGAGUGGGUGACAACGGAGGUUCAAAUGCCUGCAGAAAUUAUUACUGUUAAUAUUACUUUGUGUUAAUUACUAACAUUUUUUAUCUUGUAUUCCACAUUUACUCAUGAACCAGUAAAUAUUCUAAAUACAUUUGGCAGGUGGAAUAUGGGUUUGCUUCAGCAUGUAGUGAAUGUUCAAGUGAAUCAUAGACAUUUGAAAACAAUUAUCUCCAGCGCUAAGAAAAAUUCCUGUUAUCGUAAGUUCAGUAUCAUGUGGCCACCUUAAAGACAUGAUUCCUCUGAGUAGGUAAAACUUUCUAGCCUUUAUUUUCGAUAUGUAGAAGUAAGGAUUAUUCAUUUCCACCCAAUUACAAGCAUUCAAAAUCAGAACUAGCCUGAUAUAAAUAUGUUGCUAGAAUGGGCUACUAAAAUGAGGUUCGGGUCUCUUCCCUCUCAAAACCUUUCCCCAUCAAAACAAAAGAAAUAUGACCUCCAAGAGUCCCAAGACUCUUAACAGAUAAUGGAGGGAAGCCUUUCCAACCUUAAAACAGGCAAAGCUAAAAUUGGACUUCUGACAACUAUUUUUGUUUAGGUUCCCUAAGUCUGGUGCAGUCAUUGGUUGUCCUCUGAGCCAUCUGACUUUGCUCACUCCUGGGAUAAAAGUCUGGGCAAACAUAAGUGGCUCUGUGUGCCAAGGAGAACCUCCAUUGAGGUCAAGGACUCUCCCUUGCCAAGUAAAUCAGACAUUUAGCAACAGGACCAUGCAUCUGUUGUGGGAGAACCACUGGAAUUGCUUGAACCACUCACCAGCUCUCUUUUAUGUGAAACCUCCAGUGCAAUUCUGUUGAAAGCUCCCAGACCCAGUAUAAUCAAAAUAUAGGGUUUGCUAUUAGACAUGAAUAUGUGGGUUGUACCGUACUAACAGAGACAAAGUCUUCCCCAGCAUCUGUGCACAGCAGGUGAACCCGUGGGGGUAUAGCCAAUGCCAUGUGGCACAUGCAAUUCUAUCAUCCAAGAGAUGGGAAAGAGUGAGAGGCUCAGAAGUAUCAGCUAAAAUAAUGGUUGGCUUCCCUGAGAGCAGAGUGUUGAGGAUAUAAAGAAGAGGCGAUAUUCUAGGGCCAGACCUGAUGAGAAGAAAUGUUACAUGCAAUGGUACACAGCUCCAGAUCAUGCUGGAAAAUGGAAAAUGUUUUCCCAACCACCAAACACACAUAAACCUAAAAUAGAAGGCAGGUAGCAGAGAGGAUCAAGCAACCAUCAGUAGUACGUAGUGAGAGCCUUAGAAGGGACCACCUUCUUCAUAGCCCAACAUUAUAGCCUCCUGGCUUUUCAAGGAUUCACACCUUAUUAGUACUACAGUUAUGGAAUGUCUAUUUGCUUUCAGAUCUGAGAUGAAGCAAUAAAUCUAAUAAAUCUAAAAAAUCUUAUUUUUAAUAUGGUAACUUUGGUGUCAUAAUGGUAAGACCAACAAUGACUAUUCUUAUCCUUCCCCAGCCCAGAAAUAAAAGAAGUCAUAUUCCAACAUGUACUACAUCUCAACCUAUGCUCAGGCAUGGCUGAGACUAUGCUACAAAAGCAAACAACAAUGCUAUGUAACAGAUUAUAAUGCUCAUACAUGCCUCUCAGAGUAGUUUACCUUUUUGAGCGUAUGAACUAGUUUUUAGAUUCUUGAGAGAAUUUAUCCAGGUAAUCUACUGUUGACUUUUGGAAGAACAUACAAUUUACAAGAUAUAAUGUGAUUUGCAAACAGAUGCUGUACAAUUCCUAACUGGAGUAUUUAGAAGAGAACAUGCUUUAGGGAGAUACGGCUGACUGCCAAGGACUAUUUAUAAAUAAGUAGACGGCUUGCUAGAAUGUCUGGAACAUCUGGGUGCAAUUAUUUUCAUGGGAAAAGGCAUUCAAUAGACUUUCAUCCAUUGACGAAGUACUGCUCCCAUGACACCUUGCCAUUGACCAGGCUAAAUGCAUCUGAUGUGAACUACAGUAGCAAAGAUUCACCAGACCAGCUUUUAACCUACAUAUGUGUGAGUUCCAGCCUUUUUUAAACCAAGAUUUGCAUUGUUGACUCUGUAAGUUUUGAAAAGUCAAAUCCACUCCAUGAGUUCUUCUAGGCACUAGAGACUAGGAAGUAUGACUUUUGCUAAUAUUUAAUAGUGAUAUUUUUGUUUAUACAAAUUCAUCAAAGAACUCCUGUGUAACCAUUGACAACCAGGGUUUCAUACAUCCUGUCAAGCUUGAAUGUGUAGGCUCAGGAAGAAAAAUUGUCCAGGCAGGAAUAUCUCUGGCUCGUCUAAUUAGUCCAGCGGUAUAAAUAGCAAAUUGCUUCCUGUCUUCCUGACUUGUGUACAACAUAAGCAAGGUUUAAAGCAGGUGAGCUCUUUGUGUGGAUAUGACUAAUACUAAUUACUCUGUUAUUUACAGCACUGUCAUGUCCCAUGUAUUUGACCCUAUGCAUUAUGUUCCUGGAUGCACAAAUAUGCUUCAGGAGCUAUCAGUUGCAAGUGAACACACUAAAUACAGGCAAACAGAAGAUUGGGGCCCAGUCAUAAAAAUGGAGUGGGAGAGUGAGAUCAGCAGUCAAAAAGCAUAUUUUAAGAACCCAACAUGGCUCUUGAAACCUAUUUGACAUGACCUGGGAGCCUUGAUGCACAAAAAACCAUAAAUAUUUUAAUGACUAUUAAGUAAAUAGGCCCGAUCACAUUAAGGACCUUUUCACACGGGUCAUUUUUGCCCCAUUUUGCCACUUUUAUGUGCUGCAAGGAUGGGGCCUACUAUGCACCAUUACGUAAUGCACAGCAGGCUGUGCCCGCAUUCCUCACAAAGUGAAAAGGAAGUGCCAAAAGGUGCUUUCUCCUCCACUACAGAGAGGAAAGUGUAGUUUUGAUAGCUCCAAUGGAGCUACCUGCACUUUCCUCCCUUUUUUGCCAUGUAAUGACAGAAAAGGCAGUGGGGCAAUGCACGUUGUGGCGUGUUACUGCCCGUUCUGCCAUCUGAUUGGAGGGGGAAAGGGUGCCAACAUACUCUCUCCCAUCCCCACUGUGUAAUGAGGGGAGAAGGGAGGGCACGCAGGGUACCACGAGCCACCAUGAGCACCUUCCCUUUCGCUAGCCAUUUUAGGCCAUGUGAAGAAGUCCAAAACAACUGGUUUAUACACUUCUUUCAACAUCUGUUCUUUUCACAUGCCCAAAGCAAUGCUUUCUUCUGUAUUUUCCAAGCUGUCCUUCUCCAUUACUACAAUAAUAGUAAAUUCAUAAUAACAGUAAUUGAGUAAAAGGUAAAGGUUUCCCAUGACAUUAAGUCCAGUCAUGUCUGACUCUGGGAGUUGGUGUUCAUCUCCAUUUCUAAGCUGAAGAGCCGGCGUUGUUCAUAGACACCUCCAAGGUCAUGUGGCCGGCAUGACUGUAUGGAGUGCCGUUACCUUCCCGCCGGAGCGGUACCUAUUGAUCUACUCACAUUGGCAUGUUUUCAAACUGCUAGGUUGGCAGGAGCUGGAGCUAACAGCGGUUGCUCACGCCGCUCCCAGGGUUUGAACCUGGGACCUUUUGGUCUCUAGCUCAGUGCUUUAACGCACUUCGCCACCGGGGCUCCUAACAGUAAUUGAACCAUGACCCAAAUUGUUCCAGAUCCAUUCUUUGAUAACUCUUUUUAUAACUAAUUUCUUCCUGAUCUUCAAAGCACCAUAUCUUUCCAUGCUUAAGUCAAUUCCAUAGUCUUAUAAUUGCUUUGCUCUGGAACUUCAUCAUUUGCCCUUCCAUUCUGUUCUUUACAUGCACAACUCUCAUUGCUGUUUGAAUGCUGAUGGAGAUGGCGUCUGUGGUAUAGUAACUGCCCCUCUCUGAAAUGAUGAUACUUUCUGGCAGCCCUUCCCAACCUGCAGAUUUAAGAUGGAGCAGAGUUUAUUCCUAAUUUGUACAGUAUCUCAGGAACAGCUGCUGCCCUGGAAAAAGCCAAUCCAUCACUGAAGACUCCCAAGUGAAUCAACUGCCUUGGAAAGAGACAAAAUCCAUCACUUGGUACUCCAAAUGUUUUGAGUGAUGAAAUGACUAUUCUCAGCAAGACAGGAGGAAUGCCUUGUAUAGUCUUCUUCCAUUAGACUAUACAGAUGAAUGCCUUUGCUAGUUAGUUGACUGGCCAUGGGUCCAGCUUGACAGAGAGUAGUCCAUCCUGUGAAGGUGAACACUAGUCAAAAUGGGAUGCACAAAUCAGUCUGUAUUCUAGCUGUGUCGGUUUUGCAUACAUUGCCUGCUGAGCUUUUUGCUUCAUGGUGUUACUCUUUGCAAUGCUAGAGGGCUGAAUUUGGGGUCUGAAGUGGAAAACUGUCAAAAUAAACCAGACUAGAACUAAGAGAGCCAGUGUGUUGUAGUGGCAUUAGUGACUAGAGUGAACAGUCAUAUUCAGCCAUGAAAACCCACUGGACGACCUUGGGCAAAUCACUCUCUCUUGGCCUUAGAAGAAAACAAUAGCAAUUUUUUUCUGAAGAAAUUUUGUUAAGAAAACCAUAUAAUAGGAUUGCCAAAAUUUGGAGUUGACUUAUUGGCACAUAACAAAUCUAGAACUGAGAGGAUAUGAGUGCAAAAAUAAGGUCAUGGUUGUAUAUGUGCAGAACUACAGAGAGCCUUCAAGUACACUGGAGAAGACAGACUGUUCAUUCAUUCAGAGGGAACACUGAUGGUUUAAAUUGUAGAAGUAGAGAGUAACACAAAAAUGGGAGGAAAAACAUAGAGUGUUACCAACCUAAGGUAAAAAUAUGUUGAAACUGAUGACAGGUUAUUCAGUUUCUUUGAAUGUUUGGGUUUUUUUAGACCCAAAAAAUGUAGAUAGUUUAAUCAGUGGAGGCUGAUCGUGAAAUACAACAGAUUGUUCCAAGCAGCAUGUAGCAGGAGGUGCUGAGCAAAUGAAAUAAACAAUGUGUUACUAAAAGAAGGUCUCUUUUACAUAAGCCAUAUGCAUGGCACAUUUGUCCAUGGUGUUAACAUUUAAAAGCCUCCACUUAGGUGACAGCGUUCAAACACAGAAAUGCAGAAUAGAAGAAAAGCCUUUUCAGAUGAGAUCCAAAGGGGUCUUUAAUAUAGGAAUGUCCUCCCAACCCAGCAUCCACUGGAUGGACUGAACUAUAAUACCCAUUAUCUUCCAAGGCUAGAAAGAAUGGUAAUUUUUUAAAAACCUAAAGUACCACAACCUGCUUCUAACAAUGAGUUGUCCAAGCACCUUUAAUGAUAAAGUGUGUGGUUGGGAAUGAGUACCAACAUGUUCUAUUAUAAAAACAUAAUUUCCUCCUCUCUCCCUUAAUCAGCAAUAUUUCUUUUCAUCAAUCCUACCAUAAGAAAAAGUGCUUCAGGAACUGAUUUGGAUUACAACGAAAGCAGUAGUGUAGUGGCACUGGGGCUUACAGAGUUGAAAUACCAGGACUUUCUGAUAGAGAGAAUUAUUAUGUCCUCUUUCCUCCAUGUGACUUCUUUGUUCCCUUUCAGCUUAGCCUCAGUAACAAGGGGAGCAUUUGGCCAAGAUCUUGCUGGCAAAGGAUACAUCCCCCUGCCAGUCCCUCUGCCUGGAAUAUAUCUCCAUCUCCCCAACCUCUAUGUAUUGGUUUGUUAGUACAAUGAUCACCUAUUCCAUAUGAUUACCUUAUAUUUCACUCUAGGCCUUCGACUCCACCAUAGAAACAUAAUCUGUGUUAGGUCCUGGACUAUAAGAACUUGCUCUGAUACAGAAAGAGUUAUCUUUUUUAUUAAGGGCAUAAUUGAUGAAUUAUGGGGUUGCAUCCAGACUCAUCUCUCUGCUUUCCUUUUCACUAGUAUGUCAGGGGAGGGGGAGAGAUGUCAGCAUUGCCUCCCUGCAUAAGAAUUCUACUCUUGGCAUUUGCAGAAGGUGAGACAUUGAAAUUUGUUUUAUAUAUUCAGUGUUCCCUUAGUACCUUUUGGAAGCAUUUACUUUUUCCUAAAUGGCCAUUUGAAGUUUUACAUUAUUGCAAUGCUAAGAAUUUGAGGAAACU